UGCGUAGGUGGUCCGUUAAGUUCGUUGUGAAAUCCCUGGGCUCAACCCAGGAACUGCUUCGAAUACUGGCGGACUUGAGGCCAGUAGGGGUCACUAGAACUGACGGUGGAGCGGUGAAAUGCGUGGAUAUCGUCAGGAAUGCCGGUGGUGAAGACGGGUGACUGGGCUGGUUCUGACACUGAGGCACGAAAGCGUGGGGAGCGAACGGGAUUAGAUACCCCGGUAGUCCACGCCCUAAACGAUGCAGACUAGAUUGCAGCGGGUCUUACCCCGUUGCGGUCGAGCGAAAUUGUUAAGUCUGCCACCUGGGAAGUACGGUCGCAAGGCUAAA
rnacentral:rRNA from 1 species